AAAACUAAAAUUUCAUUGAAAAAAACCCACCACAAACCUCCCAAUUUCAAACCAAAAUUAAACACUCAAACACUCAAAUUUUCGAAAAUCACCAAAUAGCGCCAUGGGUUUUCAUUUUGGCGAAAACAUUUUCAAAACCCCUCUUUCCUAUAUCGACACAAUCUCCCUUUUCCCGUUUCUUCAUCCCCAUUUCACAAACCCUAAUCUUGCUCCUCUUUCUUCAUCUUCGUUUCCAUCUUCGUUUCCAUCUUCGUUUCCACUUUUCCAUUCUAUCGAAGAUGCCGACUCGCAGUUCAAGAAAGAGUGCUAUCGCUGAACCAAUUGUUCUCAACCCUAAAAAGCAUAGAGUUGUGCUGGGGGAUCUUCCCAAUCUACAGAAUGCAUCUAUUUCUGAAACUCAAUCCAGUGGAAAUCUGCAGCAACAUAUGUUUACUCGUUUGAUAAUUUUGAUUUGGAUAAACCGGUUCAGAGAAAGUACAACGCAAAACAUGAAAUCCAACAGAUUAUUGAACCGUAUGGAGAUGGAGAAAAAGCUAAGACUUAUGGUUGGAUACAUUGAGAAUGGUCAGAGAUUCAUUACAACAAACACGAGUGGAAUAUUGGUGGAUUGGUUAGUCAAAGUUUUGUUUAUUAAUGUUACUUAUGGUGUUUCUGCCACAUUACUGAUAACACCUAUGAGUUGAAAGAGGAUAUUAAGAUGGAAGCUGAAAUACUCUAGUCACUAAACUUUGAAAUACAAACCAUGCAUCGAUACAUAUUCAAACACAAAUUAAAAUACUUGUCUUUCUAAUUUCACCAAAAAACCAUGCAUCUCUAACUCCUACUAUUGAAUACAACACAAUAGCUGGACACAUUAGGGAGUUGGCUUUCCUUAACCCAAAGCCUAAAAUUGUGUUUCGGAAAGAAGACAAUGAUCUAGAGAAGGUCCAAUAUAAUGAGUAUUUCUAUGCCGGGGGAUUGGGUGAAUAUGUGAAAUGGCUUAACACGGAUAAGAAAGCUGUUCAUGAUGUUCUGAGUUUCAGAAAAGAAAUAAAUGGAAUCGCAGUUGAUGUAGCUUUGCAAUGAAAGUUUUAUAGUUGAAGGUGAUUCAGCUGGGGGAAGUGCUAAGCAAGGUCGUGACAAGCGCUUCCAGGAUGCAAUUGAAAUAAACUUCACGUGUUGCUGUUAGACAUUAAACUGAAGCUAAAAAAUUAGCUGACCUCUGGUAUGCUGGAAUGCAAAAUGGGUGUUGCUGUUAGACAUUAAACUGAAGCUCAAAAAUUGAGUUGAUCAAUAUUUUCCUAACUUUGCCAAUUGUGAGCUUUGCUCCAUGGCCAUUGUGGAUACAAGGUGAAUUUGUAAAAUGGAUUUUGAGCCGUGGAGGUUGAGAUUGAGGGAUUCUUUCGAUUAAAGGACCAAAGAGAAUGGUGUUAAUGUUGAGGGAUUUGUUCUAGCUUUCGUCAUUCCGCUUGUUGAGAUUCUUCGUCGCUCUUCUUCCAAUCUCAAACAUUACCAGAUUGUUAUCAUAACUCAGUUACCUAAGCUUUGAAGGACUGGCUUAUUCUCUGCUACUCAAACUCUGGCUGUGGAAGAGCUUUCCAAAGUAAGAUUGAGGAAUCAUGUGACUUAGAAUGUGAGGCUGAUAAGAAGCUGUUGCAGGUAGUAGAUUUACAACAUCGUUGCAGUCGCUGGACACCUCGUAGUCUCCCAUGAUGCUCUACCAUUCUUUUUUGUAUCACAUGCACAAUAUAUUCUCUUGUUUCCACUACCAUACUUAGGAACAGUAGCUUGAUUCAGUGGGUUUCUCAAUUUUUUUGUAGGUAAGAGUCCAGAACGAAAAGAAAAAGGAGAAGGGAGAGAUGAAUAACACAGUAGUGACAACUGAAAAAGAAAGAAACUUGGAUGCUAUAUAGAAGCAUGUGGAUGUGCUAAUGGGAGCCAAUCAAAAUGAUCACACAUACUCCUUUCCUUGGAUUAUAUUUGAACCAAGCUGCAACUCAUGAAUUUAUAACUGCUUUGCAACAUGCUAUACAUUUCAGACAUUGCUAAACGGGACAAAGCAGUCCCGGUUUCAUUAGAUUGAAUGGUAAUCCAAAGAUCAUAAAUAAAUAAGACUAGUUUUAGUUAAGAUUAUACUCUUGUAGGUUUUCUCUGUUAUUACUUUUUCCAUAUUAAAUGUGACAGCAAAUGCAAUACAUAGUUUAUUUAAAAGGUACAUGCAAUACAUAUAUUAG